rnacentral:rRNA from 1 species
UGGCGAACGGGUGAGUAACGCGUGAAUAACCUGACUCAAAGAGGGGGAUAACAACGGGAAACUGUUGCUAAUACCGCAUGAGACCACAACACCGCAUGAUGAAGGGGUCAAAGAUUUAUCGCUUUGAGAGGGGUUCGCGUCCCAUUAGGUAGUUGGAGGGGUAACGGCCCACCAAGCCAACGAUGGGUAGCCGAGCUGAGAGGCUGAUCGGCCACACUGGAACUGAGACACGGUCCAG